AUACGUAUUCCCCGCUCUCCAGCAGCUUCCUAGCUGGGUUUUCACCUCAGCCAGCGCUCAUGCUCAACCUAGGCAGGGCGGGGCAGGAGGGCCUAGCGGGAGGCGGAGCGAGGGUCGGAGGGUGACGCUCCGGACUUCUGCUAGGUCUGAGACGCGCCGGCCUCCCGCUGCUGCUCCGGAGAAGCGGCGCCUCCUCCCCGCCAGGACCCCGAGGCGGGGGGUUCCCGCCUUCUCUUCUGAGCGCCUCUUCCCGCUGCGCCCGCAUCAGUCUGGGCCUGGCCCAGGGUCCCCGGUGGAGACGUGUUUUUUUCUCCAACCACCGUGCCCCUCUGUUUAAAAGCAGCCAGUCAACCUUUGUGUCCUUUCUCCAGAAGGAAAAGCAUCUCAGCUGUUGUGGAAAAGGGCCCCAGCGUCCUCUUGUCACCGACAGGGCGAUUGCAGUGCGUUCCGGUCAUUUUUUCCAGGACACUUUCUGUCUUCAUGACAGGAACAUCGAGAAGCCAAGGCUAGUGGCUGGGUUACUGAUGGAUUACUGAUGGAUUCUUCUCAGGCAAGUGGAAAGCAGACCUAACUUCAAAAUGUUAUGCUUGUAGCCAUCAUCGGUAGCCUUACCUUGUUAUCGUGUAUUCAAGCAUCUUAAAGAAAUGAUGGUCCUGCUCAGGAAAUAACUCCCCAGAACAUCAAAGGAGAUGGUACUUAGCUGAAGCUGGCAUGUAUUUAAUGGUUUAGCACUUAGUGACCUUUGAGGAUGUGGCUGUGGACUUUACCCAGGAGGAGUGGACUUUGUUGGAUCAAGCCCAGAGAGAUCUCUACAGAGAUGUGAUGUUGGAGAACUACAAGAAUCUCAUUAUACUAGGGUCUGAAUUAUUCAAACGUAGUCUCAUGUCUGGAUUGGAACAAAUGGAAGAGCUGAGGACAGGAGUGACAGGAGUUCUGCAGGGAGAGAAGCAAUACUGCAGAGAAACUGUAUGACUCUAACCAUUCUGGAAAAGUCUUCAAUGAACACCCAUUUCUUAUGACUCACAUGAUAACUCACAUUGGAGAGAAAACUUCUGAGGAUAAUCAGAGUGGAAAAGCCUUAAGAAAGAACUUUCCUCAUAGUUUUUACAAGAAAAGUCAUGCUGAGGGGAAAAUGCCUAAGUGUGUUAAACAUGAAAAAGCCUUCAACCAGUUUCCAAAUCUUACUAGGCAGAAUAAAACUCACACACAAGAGAAAUUGUGUGAAUGCAAAGACUGUUGGAGAACUUUUCUUAAUCAGUCAUCCCUUAAGUUACAUAUAAGAUCUCACAAUGGAGACAAACACUAUGUAUGUAAGGAAUGUGGGAAAGCCUUCAGUAAUUCCUCACACCUUAUAGGACAUGGAAGAAUUCACAGUGGAGAGAAGCCCUAUGUCUGUAAAGAAUGUGGUAAAGCUUUCACUCAAUCCACAGGACUUAAAUUACACAUCAGAACUCACAGUGGAGAAAAACCAUAUAAAUGUAAAGAGUGUGGGAAAGCCUUCACCCAUUCUUCAUACCUUACUGAUCAUACAAGAAUCCACAGUGGAAAGAAGCCCUAUGUAUGUAUGGAAUGUGGAAAAGCCUUCACUAGAUCCACAGGACUUAUUUUACACAUGCGAAUUCACACUGGAGAAAAGCCAUAUGAAUAGACGAAGUUUCAUCAUGUUGUCCAGGCUGGUGUCAAACUCCUGACUUCAGGUGAUCCACCCACCUUGGCCUCCCAAAGUGCUGGGAUUAUGGACGUGAGCCACCACACCCGCCCUUGAAAUACUGUUUCUAAAAGGUAUAUGGAAGAACAAUAGGCAAGGAUAAUCAAGACCCAGCUGAUAAAAAAGGUGGAAGAACUUGCCCUAAUGAAUAUCAAGAUUAAAACUAUAGUAAUUAAGAUGCUGUUGCAUUGUACACAGACAACUAGACUAUUGGUACAAAAUAGUCUGGAAAUAGUCACGUGUAUUAGUCUGUUCUUGAGUUGUUAUAAAGAAAUACCUGGCUGGUCAUGGUGACUCAUGCAUGUAAUCCCAGCACUUUGGGAGGUGAUCCACCCACCUCGGCCUCCGAAGUGCUGGGAUUACAGGCAUGAGCCACUGCACCCCGCAAGAUCUCAUUUUACAGUAAUGUUACAUGCAUCCAUAUAAGAGACCACCUGAGCAGGCUUAGUGUGAGCAACAAGGCUGUUUAUUCACUAGGGUACAAGUGGGCUGAGUUUGAGAAAGGAGUCAGUGAAGAUGGUGGGAUUAUCAUUGGUCUUAUAGGUUUGGGAUAGGCGGUGGAGUUAGGAGCGACUUUUUUUGUGGGCAGGGGAUGGAUGUUAUGAAGUACAUUCUCAAGAGUGGGGAGGAUGUUACAAAGUACAUUCACAAGGGCGGGGAGGAUGUCUUGUCCCAAAGGCAGGGAGGAAUGUUACAAAGUGCAUUCACAAGGGCGGGGAGGAUGUUACAAAGUACAUUCACAAGGGCGCGGAGGGUGUAUUGUCACAAGGGAUGGGAGGAAUGUUACAAAGUACAUUCAGAAGAGCAGGGAGGGUGUUGCAAAUUACAUUCACAAGGGUGGGGAGGAAUGUUACAAUGUACAUUCACAGGACAAGGAAUAUCACAAAGUACAUUAUCACAAGGGCCGGGGAUGUCACAAUGGUUUGACCAUGGUGCGGCCAGCUCAGAGGACCUUACAUUCCUGUUUUUUUAUGUUAAUAAGAAAUAAAAAUAAUAAAUAAAAUAAGAAUAGUGAAAACUUGGGGUGAAAUUUUGGGGCUGUAUGGAGGAGUGAUGGGUGACGUUUCUCAGGGCUGCUUUGAGCAGGAUUAGCGGUGGUGUGGGAACCUAAAGUGGGAGAGAUUAGACUGAAGUAAGAUUUUGGGGUAAGGGGUGAUAUUGUGGGUUUGUUAAAAGCAGCAUUUGUUGUAUAGAGUGAUUAGUGAUAGCCUGGAUGCAGUUUUGUAGGAAUUGAGAGAUUAAUCAGAAGACACAAGCCCUCAAUAAGAGAAGGAGGAAGACAGGUAUUAGAGAACUAACGAUUGGAAGAAGCCAGGAUACCCAGUUAGAGAGUGGCCAGGUGGGUCCAGCAUAAUUAGUUGCCUGACUAGCGAGGUUUUGAGCUCUGUUUUUGAGUUUUUUGACGUCAUCAUAUACCAGGCCAGACUGAUUAAAGUUAAACAAACACUCUUCAUUAAGAAAUAUGCAGAGUCCUCCUUUUUCAGCAGUGAGUAAAUCGAGGCCUUGGCAGUUCUGGAGGACAACUGCAGCUAAAGUGUCAACCUGGGCUUGGAGGACAGAUAAAGAUUGUGAUAUAUCUGUAAUGCUAAACAGAGAAGUCAUUAGAGAGGCUGCAGAAUGGUGUGACAGAGGUUGAGAUAGCUGCUAUUCCAGUUCUAAGUGCAAUAGUGAAGGCAGAAAUUCCUAGACCCACAAGUAAAGGGAUUAAUGGGAUGACUCUUUUUUGUCAUGUUGGUGUCAUGAGGGGGACAGGCAGUUGUUCGUUCCCAUUUGCAAACUGGAUUUUGGGGGUAAGGAAGACUAGAGUACAUGUGCCCAUCCAGUUGGCAGGUGUACGUGGAAGAACCACAGAAAAAUAAGAGAGCUUGUGUCAGGCAUAACUGGAAAUGUAAAGUGAAAAGGUGAGAGGGUGUAGUGAAAGAGGGGUCCUGCACCCAAAAUCCUAGAGAUCCAGCAAAGGCAGCAGCCAUUAGAGGUUGUAAUGGGGAUUGAUGGUGCAACUGCGUAGAGGGAAGGUUCAGUUCUCAUGGUGUAUAAGAAAGCACAUAGUAUCUGUGAGUAGUCUUUCACUACUAUUCAUGGGGCUGGGUAUAAGCAAGCAAGAGGAGGGGUCAGGAGGAGAGUCAAAUGAGCAGGGCGAGGGUAGCCAAAGAUGGAGUGAGAUGCAGGGUAGGUGUCUUCCUAAGCAUUAGUGACUGCCAAUGUUUUUUAGUUUGUCAGUAAUGAUAGAGAGCUUAUCAGUAAUGUGAAGUUGGAAUGCUCCCAUCUGUUUGGUAGUGUGUGUGGCUUGGUUCUGGAGAUAAAGAGUAAAGGAACAUUUGGAUGGUGGAAGGUUUCCUAAAGGGAUUCCAGUAGGCUGUUUUUGGGAGAAGCAUAAAGGAGCAGCAACAGGGAUAGUUGUUUGUGUGGUUAGGGGUCCAAAUAUGGGGGGGAGUGGAAUUGACAUAAAGAGAAAGGUGCCGUAAGUAGAUGCGGAGAAGUGUGGCCGCUUUUUAAUGCGAAAUCUCUGGGGAGUUCUCACCAAAUCUGUCUAGAAAGUAAAGAAGUUCCUCAGGUGGGUAAAGACAAGGGCUAUUAAAGAAGGUUCAGAGGUGUAGGGAGACAGGAGAGGUAGCUCAGUCAGCCUGUAGAGCGGGGACGGCUGCAUAAGAGCAGGAAGAAAGGGAAAUGCAUAGCCAACAAUUUUUUACUAGAGAAGGAUUGGAGGCAGUGAGGAGAGAGUGGGUGAGGUUGAUACUAUGCUGGAGGUAACUAGGGAGAGGUAGAGAGUGACUGGAGAAUAGGGGCAAGGAUAAGAGUGAGUAGAAAAGUAAAAAAAAAAAAAAAAAAAAAGAAAGACUUAUCAGGAUAGGAGAAUUGGAAUGUAUCUUGCCACUGAAGAUAUUAUAUCCACUGCAAGAGAGUUAAGGGUGGCUAUUUGAAGUAAAACCAGGAGAUAUCAGUUAUGGUGACUUGGAGGAAAAGUGUAAACUGGUAAACUGGCAGCGUAAACAAGGGCAGGGCAUUUACGAGUAGUUGAGAAUGAUGAAUAGGUGUAUGACUAGACAGAAGAUAAUAGGGAUGACAAGUCUUGGGGGCACAGUCCAAGUAGUGGGGAUGACUUCAUAAAGCCCUGUUGCAAAAAGUAGGGUAAGGACGAAUAGACCUAAUAGAAUGAAGGGAUGUGUUAGGUUUAUAAGGGCUAUUACUGUUCUUCAGAAAUGCGAGUGAGUUUAAGGGAAGUAGGGGAGAGUGCUUGAGACUUCCAGGAGGAAGAAGAGAGAUCAGGCUGGCUGGCUGACAGACACAGCUUUAUUCUGGAAUGGUGAACCCAAUGGGGAGGGUCCUGCAGGUGGACGGGAGUUGGGGUACUAUAGAUGACUAAGCAGUCCAUCGCGGUUGUAGAGUUUGAGGGAUCAGAUUCUUAACAACAACUGAUCAUCCAGCUAGGGUGUCUUCAUAUGGCUGGGAAUCUGGAGUAGGCAAGAGAAGAUUAGCAGGCUGGUGAAUUUCCUGUCUAGCCUGCUGGAGGACUGGAAGAUAGUCGCCUAGAGGGCUGGUGUCUGGCACAAGGUGGGGGCCCAGCAAGAAGGUAUGUCCAUAUAGUCAAAUAGACUAUACCCUGUAGCUUCUCGAGGACAAGCUGUAAUUCUAAGGAGGGCAAACGGUAAAAGUACUGUCCAGUCUUUUUUAAGUUGAAGGCUGAGCUUGGUGAGGUAUGUUUUUAAAAGACCAUUAGUUCUACCAAAACAGAGAUAUAGACCAAUGGAACAAAAUAGAG